CCAACAGGGAUUCCCCUAGUAGUGGCGAAUGAACCGGGAAAAGCUCAAGUUUGAAAUCUGGUAUCAACCAGAGUUGUGAGCUGAAGAGGCGUCGACCGACGACGGUCCGGGCUCAAUGAUCCUUGGAACAGGCAUGUCGUAGAGGGUGAAAAUCCCGUCUGUGGCUCGAGUGCCGUCGUCUUUGUGUCGUGUCCUCGAAGAGUCGGGUUGUUUGGGAAUGCAGCUCAAAAUGGGUGGUAAAUUUCAUCUAAGGCUAAAUAUUGGCGAGAGACCGAUAGUAAACAAGUAGAGUGAUCGAAAGAUGAUAAGUAUCUUGAAAAGAAAGUGAAACAGUACGUGAAAUUGUUGAAAGGGAAGCGUUU
rnacentral:rRNA from 1 species